rnacentral:tRNA from 1 species
AAGCAGUUAGUUUAAAUUAAAACCUUUGAUUUCGGCUCAAAAACUUGUGGUUAAACUCCAUAACUGCUUG